rnacentral:rRNA from 1 species
CCGGCGAUGUCCGAAUGGGGAAACCCAGUGCAAUUCGUUGCACUAUCGUUAACUGAAUACAUAGGUUAACGAGGCGAACCGGGGGAACUGAAACAUCUAAGUACCCCGAGGAAAAGAAAUCAACCGAGAUUCCCCCAGUAGCGGCGAGCGAACGGGGAGCAGCCCAGAGUCUGAAUCAGCUUGUGUGUUAGUGGAACGGUCUGGAAAGUCCGACGGUACAGGGUGAUAGUCCCGUACACCAAAAUGCACAGGUUGUGAACUCGAAGAGUAGGGCGGGACACGUGGUAUCCUGUCUGAAUAUGGGGGGACCAUCCUCCAAGGCUAAAUACUCCUGACUGACCGAUAGUGAACCAGUACCGUGAGGGAAAGGCGAAAAGAACCCCGGCGAGGGGAGUGAAAAAGAACCUGAAACCGUGUACGUACAAGCAGUGGGAGCACCUUCGGGUGUGACUGCGUACCUUUUGUAUAAUGGGUCAGCGACUUAUAUUCUGUAGCAAGGUUAACCGUAUAGGGGAGCCGCAGGGAAACCGAGUCUUAACUGGGCGUUAAGUUGCAGGGUAUAGACCCGAAACCCGGUGAUCUAGCCAUGGGCAGGUUGAAGGUUGGGUAACACUAACUGGAGGACCGAACCGACUAAUGUUGAAAAAUUAGCGGAUGACUUGUGGCUGGGGGUGAAAGGCCAAUCAAACCGGGAGAUAGCUGGUUCUCCCCGAAAGCUAUUUAGGUAGCGCCUCGUGAACUCAUCUUCGGGGGUAGAGCACUGUUUCGGCUAGGGGGUCAUCCCGACUUACCAACCCGAUGCAAACUACGAAUACCGAAGAAUGUUAUCACGGGAGACACACGGCGGGUGCUAACGUCCGUCGUGAAGAGGGAAACAACCCAGACCGCCAGCUAAGGUCCCAAAGUCAUGGUUAAGUGGGAAACGAUGUGGGAAGGCACAGACAGCCAGGAUGUUGGCUUAGAAGCAGCCAUCAUUUAAAGAAAGCGUAAUAGCUCACUGGUCGAGUCGGCCUGCGCGGAAGAUGUAACGGGGCUAAACCAUGCACCGAAGCUGCGGCAGCGACACUAUGUGUUGUUGGGUAGGGGAGCGUUCUGUAAGCCUGCGAAGGUGACCUGUGAGGGUUGCUGGAGGUAUCAGAAGUGCGAAUGCUGACAUAAGUAACGAUAAAGCGGGUGAAAAGCCCGCUCGCCGGAAGACCAAGGGUUCCUGUCCAACGUUAAUCGGGGCAGGGUGAGUCGACCCCUAAGGCGAGGCCGAAAGGCGUAGUCGAUGGGAAACAGGUUAAUAUUCCUGUACUUGGUGUUACUGCGAAGGGGGGACGGAGAAGGCUAUGUUAGCCGGGCGACGGUUGUCCCGGUUUAAGCAUGUAGGCUGGUUGUCCAGGCAAAUCCGGAUAAUCAAGGCUGAGGUGUGAUGACGAGGCACUACGGUGCUGAAGUAACAAAUGCCCUGCUUCCAGGAAAAGCCUCUAAGCAUCAGGUAACAUCAAAUCGUACCCCAAACCGACACAGGUGGUCAGGUAGAGAAUACCAAGGCGCUUGAGAGAACUCGGGUGAAGGAACUAGGCAAAAUGGUGCCGUAACUUCGGGAGAAGGCACGCUGGUGUGUAGGUGAAGUCCCUGCGGAUGGAGCUGAGACCAGUCGAAGAUACCAGCUGGCUGCAACUGUUUAUUAAAAACACAGCACUGUGCAAACACGAAAGUGGACGUAUACGGUGUGACGCCUGCCCGGUGCCGGAAGGUUAAUUGAUGGGGUUAUCCGUAAGGAGAAGCUCUUGAUCGAAGCCCCGGUAAACGGCGGCCGUAACUAUAACGGUCCUAAGGUAGCGAAAUUCCUUGUCGGGUAAGUUCCGACCUGCACGAAUGGCGUAAUGAUGGCCAGGCUGUCUCCACCCGAGACUCAGUGAAAUUGAACUCGCUGUGAAGAUGCAGUGUACCCGCGGCAAGACGGAAAGACCCCGUGAACCUUUACUAUAGCUUGACACUGAACAUUGAGCCUUGAUGUGUAGGAUAGGUGGGAGGCUUUGAAGCGUGGACGCCAGUCUGCGUGGAGCCAACCUUGAAAUACCACCCUUUAAUGUUUGAUGUUCUAACGUUGGCCCCUGACCGGGGUUGCGGACAGUGUCUGGUGGGUAGUUUGACUGGGGCGGUCUCCUCCCAAAGCGUAACGGAGGAGCACGAAGGUUAGCUAAUCCUGGUCGGACAUCAGGAGGUUAGUGCAAUGGCAUAAGCUAGCUUGACUGCGAGCGUGACGGCGCGAGCAGGUGCGAAAGCAGGUCAUAGUGAUCCGGUGGUUCUGAAUGGAAGGGCCAUCGCUCAACGGAUAAAAGGUACUCCGGGGAUAACAGGCUGAUACCGCCCAAGAGUUCAUAUCGACGGCGGUGUUUGGCACCUCGAUGUCGGCUCAUCACAUCCUGGGGCUGAAGUAGGUCCCAAGGGUAUGGCUGUUCGCCAUUUAAAGUGGUACGCGAGCUGGGUUUAGAACGUCGUGAGACAGUUCGGUCCCUAUCUGCCGUGGGCGCUGGAGAAUUGAGGGGGGCUGCUCCUAGUACGAGAGGACCGGAGUGGACGCAUCACUGGUGUUCGGGUUGUCAUGCCAAUGGCACUGCCCGGUAGCUAAAUGCGGAAGAGAUAAGUGCUGAAAGCAUCUAAGCACGAAACUUGCCCCGAGAUGAGUUCUCCCUGAGACUUUAAGUCUCCUGAAGGAACGUUGAAGACGACGACGUUGAUAGGCCGGGUGUGUAAGCGCAGCGAUGCGUUGAGCUAACCGGUACUAAUGAACCGUGAGGCUUAACCUU